rnacentral:lncRNA from 1 species
AUUACAGUCGAGGUGAGCCGUUAGUCCCCCCCAUUUAAACUGGGCAGGUUGCAGGUUGUCCGCCGUCACCAGCAUGUCGUUGGCAGUGUGCACCGCACUGUUGCCUCUGCCACCGCUGCUGCCGUCGGGCAUGUUAGACUUAGCGCUGUCAGCACUAUCACCGGAGCAGCGGUGGACUUCCCGACUUUCCGCCGCCGCCACUGCUGCUGCUGUCGGGUUGGCAGGCCGUCAUUGACCGGGGCUGUGGCAUGUGCAGGGACUGCCGUUGACUGCGGGUGUUGCGAUGGAAGGGGUGGUGUUGGGGUCGCCGGGGGUGGGGUAGCCACUGGGGUCGGCAGCAUGGCGGGCGGUGUAGAGCCGCCGAUGGGGUCACUGCCGCUGGGGCAGCAGUGUUUUUUUUUUGCGGAAUAUAUUCCGAAUUCGGAAUAAAAAAUGUUCGCGGUCCUGGAAAUUAAGAAUAAAUAAUGUUCCGACCGUACAAGUUCAUUCCUCCAGCCAAAUAGGGGGGUCCUUGUGAAGCAGCUGCCCGCGUUUCCAAAGCCCGUAUGGUGUUGGAUUGUAAGUUGCCCAAGUACGUUUGCGAGGAAGAGAAUGUGGCCAGGCUGGAGAGGAAAGUGCAGUGGCAUAUUGGAAUGUGAGAUUAGCGUAAGCGAGUUACAGGGCGUUUUUAUUUAUUGCACGGGCGAAUUUACGUGCAAAUCUUUNNNNNNNNNNNNNNNNNNNNNNNNNNNNNNNNNNNNNNNNNNNNNNNNNNACUUUUUCGGUCGCUCGAGCGUCGCAGGAGCAGUGGCGACGCACUUUGUGGAGUGAUGCACGUCCAUGGAGUCCAGGAAUUAACUUUGCGCGAGCAGCCACUCUGUAUGGCCAAGUAGCAAUCCAAUUUUCAUUCUUCGUAAAGAAUCGGGAGAGUAACGCUACAGGAGCGUCCAUACAAUAAUAGGACAAGGGGCUCCGCUCGUCAAAGUAGACUUUGACGUGGUGGCGUUAGUAGAACCAAAACUAACUCCAGAAAAGCUUUACGAAAUUCAUCAAGAAUACGGUGAACCCAAAGAUAAGAACAAGCGGAACCUUGCGGAACCGAACUCAAUCGAUCAACGCAGCGAUCACUCAUGAAAACACCAAGAGAUGCAAUGGAGGCUCACUCUAGGAACCAGGAUUCCAAGGACAAAGAGGUUCGGCAGGUCAACUCGUCGGGUCAAGUCAAGUCGCAUGUCGCACGAAGUGCAUUUUCCACAGGACAACGUAUUACAAGUGACCGAUUAUCUCCGACGCUGUCACAUUGACAUGCGCCGCACGGUGGUGGCCUGGUGGGGCUGCGGGACCUCCGCGGGACCCCCGCGGUGGGUGGUGGGGGAGCCACCCUGCGGCAGCAUCACUCCUGGGCCUGCCCCGUGGCCCUGGGCACGGUGGGCCAAGUUCAAUUGCAGAUGGUUGCUCGGGUGAGCCGAGCAAAGCUCUGGCUGAUGCAAGCGCCACCCCCUUAGAGGGCUGUGUGUAGGUUGUGGUAGUGUGUCCUGAGGUGCCUGUGUAGGCGACUUUCCCCGAGUCCUGCUUUAUAAUUUUCUGGUGCAGUUGUGAUGCGUCGCUGUUGCCCCCUGUUUGGUAGUGGUGUCCCGCUGGGUGUCUGCAUUUUUGGGUGUUCUGCUGGCGGGCUGUAGCUACUGUUCACUUUCGGGCAUUGUGAUGCGGGGAUGCAUUGCACCGACCUUGCACGGGGUCCACUGUAACCUUCAUUCAUUCAGUGUAUGUGAAGAAAUGCAUGAAUUCUCGGUCUUAGAGGGGAUUGCGUUAUGUGUGUAGUGUAGGGUGUGCAGGAUUUCACACGCAGCGCAAGUCGCGCGCCUGCCAGGGAUUCACACGGCAGCCCCGGCCCAUCAUCAGCCUAUGACAGCUGCCGCCACUUCAAGGCGAUUUGCUUUGUGUGCUCGUGAGGCAGGGAGCUCUGUCCAGCUGCCGCUGCUUCUGAUGGGGUGUUACACUGUGGGCGGCUCGUCCCGAGAGAGGACAAGCACCGGGGGCUAUGACCGGGCCGAAACACAGGGGCGGGCGGGCGCGUGGCUCUACGUCCGUCUGUUCCGCCGCGCUCGCCUCACCCCCUCACUCACGCCAACCGGGGCGCUGUCCCAGCCCCUGGCUAGGCAACACAGCGGACACAGAAGACUGCGAACCGAACUAAGCGAGAGGCUCACGAGAGGCGCCACACUUCUGCCUUCUGUGAUUGCGCUAAACAUGUACCCGUUUGGUACCUGCUGAGGCUUUGCUGCUUGACCAUCCACGCUCUUCUCGCACGUUGGUUUGUGACCUUCACAGCUGCUCCUCUAUCUGUUACCGCAAUCGUGCUCGCUGCCAUCGGAGCGGUUACCUUUCGCUAGUACCCAUACUUGCGUGAAACACUCUUAUAUCAACCGAGUCUAAUACAAUGACCAGCAGUGAAUUUGACAAAGUGUCCUGCUCUCAUCCAAAGUCAGACCUGUGCCUAAACGCGAACGUAAAGGCACAAUUCUUUGUCAAUAUGUUCUUCGUUAAACGUCUUACUUAUAACACUCGAAAAAAAUUGCGAAUACUUUAGUUUUUGGUGCUUAUGUGAGCUCGAAUGGGCUGGGGACCGGAAGGCACAUAAAUUAGGUCCCUCGCCGGUCCCACGGUCGUACAUUCCGGGUCCCCUGGCCCUAGAUAUGCCCUACAUACAGCAGUCACGAAUGAGUGCCCCAAUUUUUGGUUGGCUAGUGACACUUAAAAUUUAUAUGAGGAACACUUUCAUGAUAAAGUAACUUGAUGUAUUUGAGGUAUUUAAUACGCGUAUUUCAUUGAUGUCAUUUGCACCACGACCGGCUGCUGUUCGUCAAUGUUUUACCACCGCUGUAUAGUGAUGCUUGACUACAAAGUACAGAGAUGACAUAGAAGCAUGACUCCGAGCUCUUACAUGUAGGAAAAAUACAGGUAACCGUCGAAUUAGGCAAAGUCCGUUGCAGCGCUGGAGGAAACUUAGCGCCCACAUACAACGCCCGCUGCUGCACUCGCGCUUGCAAUGUCACACCUCGCGCAUCGCGCAACCUCACCGGCUCCGAUCAAAGCAGCGAACCUGGCUACCCAUGGCGCGCAAAUGGGUUGAAUCCCUGUACACAUCUGCACGCCCCUCCAAACGUUAUGCCAAACAACGAAAUCUGCCUACACACCACGCAUUGCCCGUUUGCUACAAAGCACGUCGUCCUUUGAUUAUCCCGCGCCAACAUGAGUACGACUGCGGCAGUGGGCACGCGCGUCACCUCACCAAAAAACAUGGCAUCGCGUAUGUAACAUCAUGCUUUUAAAUGUUUCCUUUGGCUCCCGCUCAUCCCUAUCAUGAUUGCCUGUCGGUGGCCAGGUGGUCUUGGGGGGGAUGUGCGGGGUCGUGGGGCUGCCGCCCCACUUCCCCGCACUUUCCCCUCUCUCCUGCCCCUUGUUCUUGGAAAGCUUUAGGCGAAAGUUUUUAUCGGCUGGCAUUAGCAAGCAUGUGGGCUGUGUGCCUUUUCCAAUGAUUGAAACGGUUUGUUUUCUUGCAUUGGUCGUACAGUGCAAAUUGCCCACACAUUGCUAGUUGUUGCAACAGUAAAGUAUAAGCAAUUGACGAAGUGUAAGGAGAAUGUCAGUCUGGAGAAUUAAGCAUCUAAAUUUGUGAUUACAGUCGAGGUGAGCCGUUAGUCCCCCCCAUUUAAACUGGGCAGGUUGCAGGUUGUCCGCCGUCACCAGCAUGUCGUUGGCAGUGUGCACCGCACUGUUGCCUCUGCCACCGCUGCUGCCGUCGGGCAUGUUAGACUUAGCGCUGUCAGCACUAUCACCGGAGCAGCGGUGGACUUCCCGACUUUCCGCCGCCGCCACUGCUGCUGCUGUCGGGUUGGCAGGCCGUCAUUGACCGGGGCUGUGGCAUGUGCAGGGACUGCCGUUGACUGCGGGUGUUGCGAUGGAAGGGGUGGUGUUGGGGUCGCCGGGGGUGGGGUAGCCACUGGGGUCGGCAGCAUGGCGGGCGGUGUAGAGCCGCCGAUGGGGUCACUGCCGCUGGGGCAGCAGUGUUUUUUUUUUGCGGAAUAUAUUCCGAAUUCGGAAUAAAAAAUGUUCGCGGUCCUGGAAAUUAAGAAUAAAUAAUGUUCCGACCGUACAAGUUCAUUCCUCCAGCCAAAUAGGGGGGUCCUUGUGAAGCAGCUGCCCGCGUUUCCAAAGCCCGUAUGGUGUUGGAUUGUAAGUUGCCCAAGUACGUUUGCGAGGAAGAGAAUGUGGCCAGGCUGGAGAGGAAAGUGCAGUGGCAUAUUGGAAUGUGAGAUUAGCGUAAGCGAGUUACAGGGCGUUUUUAUUUAUUGCACGGGCGAAUUUACGUGCAAAUCUUUCACCGUAGCAUCAGUCCUCAGUUCACUUCUUGGAACGAACAUCAGCAUAGGUCCAAGCCCUCUCGCUUGGAGGGAUAUGCAAACAAACAUCCUGAUAGGGGUAAACUCGCACGCUACCGAGCAUUCAACCGAGCACAUGCAUGCUUAGUUGAAUGGUGAGAUGCGACCCCCCCUUCAUUUCGUGCUCGGCAAGCCUGCCACCGCGUACCGGAUAUGUUGGCGAUGUNNN